rnacentral:rRNA from 1 species
GACGAACGCUGGCGGCGCGCUUAACACAUGCAAGUCGAACGGAAAGGCCUGCUUUCCCUUGUGGAUUGCGGGUACUCGAGUGGCGAACGGGUGAGUAACACGUGAGUGAUCUGCCCCCAACUUGGGUAUAAGCCUGGGAAACUGGGUCUAAUUCCCGAUAGGACUGCAGGGUGGUGCCUGUGGUGGAAAACGAUUUUCUAGUGGUUGGGGAUGAGCUCGCGGCCUAUCAGCUUGUUGGUGGGGUAAUGGCCUACCAAGGCGGCGACGGGUAGCCGGCCUGAGAGGGUGGACGGCCACAUUGGGACUGAGAUACGGCCCAGACUCCUACGGGAGGCAGGAGUGGGGAAUAUUGCACAAUGGGCGGAAGCCUGAUGCAGCGACGCCGCGUGGGGGAUGACGGCCUUCGGGUUGUAAACUCCUUUCGACCGCGAGGAAGCCACCUGGUUGGAAGGGUGGUGACGGUAGUGGGAGAAGAAGCACCGGCUAACUACGUG